UAGGGAAUUUUCCACAAUGGGCGAAAGCCUGAUGGAGCAACGCCGCGUGCAGGAGGAAGGCCUUCGGGUUGUAAACUGCUUUUAUCUGUGACGAUUAUGACGGUAGCAGAAGAAUAAGGAUCGGCUAACUCCGUGCCAGCAGCCGCGGUCAUACGGAGGAUCCAAGCGUUAUCCGGAAUUACUGGGCGUAAAGAGUUGCGUAGGUGGCAUAGUAAGCAGAUAGUGAAAUCGUGCGGCUCAACCGCAUAUCCAUUAUCUGAACUGCUAAGCUUGAGUAUGGGAGAGGUAGAUGGAAUUUCUAGUGUAGGAGUGAAAUCCGUAGAUAUUAGAAGGAACACCGAUGGCGUAGGCAGUCUACUGGCCCAUUACUGACACUAAGGCACGAAAGCGUGGGGAGCGAACGGGAUUAGAUACCCGCGUAGUCC
rnacentral:rRNA from 1 species